rnacentral:rRNA from 1 species
UACAUGGGGUGCAAACGUUGCUCGGAAUUAUUGGGCGUAAAGCGCACGUAGGCGGUUUGUUAAGUCGGUUGUGAAAUCCCUCGGCUCAACUGAGGAAGUGCAUCCGAAACUGGCAGGCUUGAGUACUAAAGAGGGUCGCGGAAUUCCCGGUGUAGUGGUGAAAUGCGUAGAUAUCGGGAGGAACACCAGUGGCGAAGGCGGGUCUCUGGGCCGUAACUGACGCUGAGGAGCGAAAGCGUGGGGAGCGAACAGG